rnacentral:lncRNA from 1 species
AACAAACUGCACAAAUAUUGUGCAACCUCCUCCUCUUUUUCUUCUUCAUACAUGUUUUCUUUUCAUAUGCAUACAAACCUAUGUCAUCCACACUUCUUUCAACCAUUCCAUGUUUUCUCUUCUUCUUUACAUAGAAAAUCACAUCACAAAGAGAGGAGAAAAUGGUUCUAUCCAAUUUGAUUAUAAGGUUUGUUUUUACUUUCUUUGAAUUUGAUCCAUGAUUCUCUAAAUUUUUGGGUUGUAUUGAUUAGUUCUCUUCAGUCAUUACAUUGUUUAUUGGACCUUAAACACUGAUAAUUUUCUAUUAUGAUAAGUGGUUUUGUGAAGUAUUUUCUUGAUUUAGUGUUAUAAUUUAGAUCUGGUAGACAUGCAUCACCUUUGAUGAUAUAUCCAUUUUCUUAAAAUUACAAGAGUGUGUUUUGUGUGUUUUUAUAAUUUUCGUUGGUCCUCUGUAACCUGUUAAAUCAAAAUCUCAAAAUACUUCAGAUUUAGUGCCUUAUUAAUUGCUACCUACUAAAUAUAAGGGUAUGCAUGUGAUUCUGGUCAUGUGCUUUUAAGUUCUAACUUUUAUGCCUAAUGCAAUAUAUUCUUAUGUCUGCCAAUCUUUCAUAUUAUCAUAAAGAGACUACAAUCAAUCAUAUGAUAUGGACCAAGGAAGAACUUACAAGAAUAUAAGCUUAUCUUGUCUUUAACCCAAAGAACAAAUUAAAAAUAUAAUUACGUAGUUUUAAUAUAGUAUAUACAUCUGCAUUGAAUUGCAUCUGUUUGUGCCUGCGUUUUUCUAUAUAUUAAAUCAAGUACAUGAAUGUCAUAUAUGAGUGUGUGUUUGUUCAAUUUCUAUGAUGAUAUAUACAAUUAUUGACUGGGUGUUUUUGGCUAGCUUAACUUAUAACCUGUUUUCCUAAUAAUAUACUAUAAUUGUUCUUAUAUUUGAAAGAAUUUUUCAGGAAAUGAUAUUAAGACAUAUUUUGAAAAUAUAAUGUGAAAGUAUGUAGUUUGGUUGUUCUUUUAACAAAUUUGAAAGUCUAUAUUUUUAGGGAUUAAUUGUUAUUAAAGUGUGAUUUUGUUCUAUGCCCUUAUCGUAUGAUUUGUGAAAGUAUAUGAGUUUGUUUGAAUUGAUUGUAAUUUGAUUAUUGUUUGAUGAAGUGGCGAUUUUUGGUGGAUGUAAAUGGAGAUGCUCGUGAUAGUGCAACAAUGUUAAAGUUAUGAGAUAAAGCGGCUAAGGUGAGGGAGAAGACCAUUGUGGUCUUAGAGUAUUUCAUUAAAGUUUUUCCUCUCCGAUUCCCUCAAAAGUCGGAGAGUCUUGUAGAUUAGGAACUCUCAUGGAAACUUGUUUUCAUGUAAGAGUCCUUAAUCCUCUUUCAUGACGAUGUAUAG